GUGUGAAAACUGACCAUUAAGUCCCCAGGCGAAUGCACCCGAAUGUUACCUAAAGCGUAUAUUUUCUAAGCAGUCUGAUUUAUAAUUGGCUUUUCCAUUCGGGCAAUGCUACCUAAUGUCAAUUAAUUUGGGGAAUUUUAAUUUACUAUUAACUAUUCCUAGACUUUGCCUGAACUGUAGGAGUGAUUUUUAUAUCCUUCAGGCACUAAUUUUCAGUCCAGAAUUCUUUCCCAUUCAAAAUCCUAUUACUAUAAAACUUAGAACCGUUACAGGGUAUCGGUCCGUGCGGAGUCUGCAUGUUCUUAUAUUUACAUGAUGUACUUCCUCGGCAUUGCUAGGAUAGGCUCUGGUUCCCCCCAACCACGAAUUUGAUUAUACAUUUUGGGGAACGCUAUGUCACGCUAUUAACGAUGUGGCUCUCGCCUGCUUCCAACACCAGUUACUAAAGUUUUCAUCACGUAAAAGGAGUCAAAGUGACUUGGCUCGGAAAGACACGAACUCGCGUAGACGAACUCACACACUUCCUCUUUCCAACGGCUCCAGCCCACGUGGUCGUGACGUCACAGGAAAGCGCGCGCUGCGCAGGCCAGCCUCUCAGGAGCUGCAUUCUGACUACAGAUCCUUGUCAAGGAAGUAGCAAAUGAGGAAAGGAAAAGCAAAAGGGCCCUCUGCUGAUUCCAAGAUUGUCAGCUUUAACACCAAUCAUAUCACAUCUGGUGUCUGUCCACCUGGCCCUACCUCUUCCUGCCAGAAGUGCUUAAAGACAGAAGACCCGUCAUCUGGGAGAGUCAAUAUUUAGAAUCACAUCCUGAAAGACAUUUUUUUUCUCA